rnacentral:rRNA from 1 species
UACGUAGGUGACAAGCGUUGUCCGGAUUUACUGGGCGUAAAGAGCGCGCAGGCGGUCGAUCAAGUCGAGUGUGAAAGCCCCCGGCUCAACUGGGGAGGGUCAUUCGAUACUGAUCGACUCGAAGGCAGGAGAGGGAAGUGGAAUUCCCGGUGUAGUGGUGAAAUGCGUAGAGAUCGGGAGGAACACCCGUGGCGAAGGCGGCCUGCUGGGCCGAUCCUGACGCUGAGGCGCGAAGGCGUGGGGAGCGAACGGG